rnacentral:rRNA from 1 species
UGAGGAAUAUUGGUCAAUGGGCGGAAGCCUGAACCAGCCAUGCCGCGUGCAGGACGACGGCCCUACGGGUUGUAAACUGCUUUUCCGGGGGAAGAAUAAGGGCGACGCGUCGCCCGAUGCCGGUACCCCGGGAAUAAGGAUCGGCUAACUCCGUGCCAGCAGCCGCGGUAAUACGGAGGCUCCGAGCGUUAUCCGGAUUUACUGGGUUUAAAGGGUGCGUAGGCGGGCCCCUCAGUCAGCGGUGAAAGUCUGCGGCGCAACCGUAGGAUUGCCGUUGAGACUGGGGGCCUUGGAGUCGGUCGAGGCGGGCGGAAUGCGUGGUGUAGCGGUGAAAUGCUUAGAUAUCACGCAGAACGCCGAUUGCGAAGGCAGCUCGCCGGGCCGAAAUCGACGCUGAGGCACGAAAGCGUGGGGAUCGAACA